rnacentral:rRNA from 1 species
CAGCCGGGGAGGACAUUACCGAGUUUACACUCCCAAACCCUUAUGUGAACCGUACCUAUCGUUGCUUCGGCGGGAACGCCCCGGCGCCCUGCGCCCGGAUCCAGGCGCCCGCCGGAGACCCCAAACUCUUGUGUUUUUUUCAGUAUUCUCUGAGUGGCAAACGCAAAAAUAAAUCAAAACUUUUAACAACGGAUCUCUUGGCUCUGGCAUCGAUGAAGAACGCAGCGAAAUGCGAUAAGUAAUGUGAAUUGCAGAAUUCAGUGAAUCAUCGAAUCUUUGAACGCACAUUGCGCCCGUUAGCAUUCUAGCGGGCAUGCCUGUCCGAGCGUCAUUUCAACCCUCAGGGUCCCCGUUCCGGCGGGGAACCUGGUGUUGGGGAUCGGCCCGCCCCGCGCGGCGCCGUCCCCCAAAUUCAGUGGCGGUCUCGCUGCAGCCUCCCCUGCGUAGUAGUUACAACCUCGCAUCGGAGCUCAGCGCGGCCACGCCGUAAAACCCCCGACUUUCUGAACGUUGACCUCGGAUCAGGUAGGAAUACCCGCUGAACUUAAGCAUAUCAAUAAGCGGAGGAA